rnacentral:Y_RNA from 1 species
GGCUGGUCCAAAGGUAGCAAGUUACCUCAGUUGAUUGUUCACAGUAAUAGAUCCAUGUUAUACUCUUUCCCCUUCUCACUACUGCACUUAAAAAAAGACAAAUUUCUG